rnacentral:rRNA from 1 species
UGCCGGUGGACAAACCGGAGGAAGGUGGGGAUGACGUCAAGUCCAUCAUGGCCCUUACGGCCUGGGCUACACACGUGCUACAAUGGUCGGUACAAAGGGUUGCCAAGCCGCGAGGUGGAGCUAAUCCCAUAAAACCGAUCGUAGUCCGGAUCGCAGUCUGCAACUCGACUGCGUGAAGUCGGAAUCGCUAGUAAUCGUGAAAUCAGAAUGUCACGGUGAAUACGUUCCCGGGUCCGUU